rnacentral:rRNA from 2 species
UGCAGUCGAGCGGACUUUUAAAAGCUUGCUUUUAAAAGUUAGCGGCGGACGGGUGAGUAACACGUGGGUAACCUGCCUGUAAGACUGGGAUAACUCCGGGAAACCGGGGCUAAUACCGGAUAACUUUUUUCCUCGCAUGAGGAAAAAUUGAAAGAUGGCUUCGGCUAUCACUUACAGAUGGACCCGCGGCGCAUUAGCUAGUUGGUGAGGUAACGGCUCACCAAGGCAACGAUGCGUAGCCGACCUGAGAGGGUGAUCGGCCACACUGGGACUGAGACACGGCCCAGACUCCUACGGGAGGCAGCAGUAGGGAAUCUUCCGCAAUGGACGAAAGUCUGACGGAGCAACGCCGCGUGAGUGAUGAAGGUCUUCGGAUCGUAAAACUCUGUUGUUAGAGAAGAACAAGUACCGUUCGAAUAGGGCGGUACCUUGACGGUACCUAACCAGAAAGCCACGGCUAACUACGUGCCAGCAGCCGCGGUAAUACGUAGGUGGCAAGCGUUGUCCGGAAUUAUUGGGCGUAAAGCGCGCGCAGGCGGUUUCUUAAGUCUGAUGUGAAAGCCCACGGCUCAACCGUGGAGGGUCAUUGGAAACUGGGAGACUUGAGUGCAGAAGAGGAGAGUGGAAUUCCACGUGUAGCGGUGAAAUGCGUAGAGAUGUGGAGGAACACCAGUGGCGAAGGCGACUCUCUGGUCUGUAACUGACGCUGAGGCGCGAAAGCGUGUGGAGCGAACAGGAUUAGAUACCCUGGUAGUCCACGCCGUAAACGAUGAGUGCUAAGUGUUAGAGGGUUUCCGCCCUUUAGUGCUGCAGCUAACGCAUUAAGCACUCCGCCUGGGGAGUACGGCCGCAAGGCUGAAACUCAAAGGAAUUGACGGGGGCCCGCACAAGCGGU